UGUGGAUCAUUCAAAAAACAUAAAAUUAUAAACAAAAUGUUCAACAUUCAUCAGCUGGGAGAUGUUGAUGUUAAGAAACACCUCAUCAACUUAAAGAAUAAUUUGCGAGAAUCAUCGCCAUUUGGAAACUACAGUCGUGUAGCGAGUACUAAAGAUGUUUUUUCUGCUAUUAAUAUUGCACAUUGCCAGAAUGGUCUGCAUCUUGGGGCUUUAAAAACUUAUAAGAAGAUUGUUGAGGGUUAUGCAAACAUUGCAAGAAAAACUGUUGAAAUUUUUAUCAGUUUCUGCCCAACUUGCAAUUUAAAUAAAUGGCAGUUAAAAAAAGCACUAUUACAACCAAUAAUUUCUACUGGUUUUUUGCAACGUCUUUAAAUUGAUUUGAUUGCAAUGGAAUCUAAGCCAGAUAAGAAAUUCAGAUAUAUUGGUCAUGUUGUUGAUCAUUUCAGUAAGUUUCAUAUUU
rnacentral:misc_RNA from 1 species